rnacentral:miRNA from 1 species
CCAUGGCCAAGGAUGCCAGAG